rnacentral:rRNA from 1 species
UACAGAGGGUGCGAGCGUUGUCCGGAAUCACUGGGCGUAAAGGGCGCGUAGGUGGCGGCCCAAGUCCGUGGUGAAAGCUCGCCGCUUAACGGCGAGUCGGCCACGGAGACUGGGUGGCUCGAGCACUGUAGGGGCAGAUGGAAUUCCGGGUGUAGCGGUGGAAUGCGUAGAGAUCAGGAAGAACACCGAUGGCGAAGGCAGCUCUCUGGGACGGUACUGACGCUGAGACGCGAAAGCGUGGGGAGCGAACAGG